GGGGGCGACUGGUUUCGACAUGGUAAGUUCGAAGUGAGGAGCAGGCCGUGUUCUCCUCGACACGAUAAUAAGGGGUAAUGUCAAUUUAAUUGGCAACAAAAAAUCUCUUGCUUUGGCUGCUUAAGUCCAAGGCCGUCGAUCGAAAAUUUAUUCCUCGGUUUUCGGGAGACGUCAUUUAAGAGGGAUGCGUUUGGAAGUGUAAUCGGUAUAUUCCAAACCAAGAUCAAACCGGUAUGGACAAGCAUCGUUUGUCGGCAUACACACCGUUUGUCCGAGAUUUUUGAAUGCCGACUAAGCUUGUAGAGCCUGACCGGGAAUUUAGUAUGGACCGGAGUUCGAUUCUCCGCGCCUCCACCA
rnacentral:tmRNA from 1 species